CCAGCCCGGGUCCAAUUUAAUAACAUGUAAAUCAGUUGGGUUUCUAAAAACAUCUUAGUUUCCUAAUCCUCUUCACGCCUCCUUCUGAAAUAAAGAUCCCAUUCAUCAAGUCUAGCUUCCUUCGAUUGAUGCUCUGGGUGAUCAAGUUGUGCCUCCAUUAUCGUGGUUUUCUUGCAAAAAUUGGCUUACAGAAGUAAGUCACGCCUCCUUUUCUUUGUUUAGCUAUUAGCUUCUUCAGUUUACUUGAAUAUUGAUGCUUCACCUGCUGAAGUUGAGUUCUUCAGUAGAUGGGACAUUGAGAAGCUUUUUAUUCAUCUAAGAGGGAUCUAGUCAUCUGUGUUAUGCUGUUACAUUCGAUCCAUAGAUAUGGUAGGGAUGAAGACAAUGGGAUGCUUGGACCCACGAGUAUUCGGUUAACAACCUCAAUCCUAGGUUUAUUAAGCUCCAACUGACCAAUAGACCCUCCCAUGAUGCUGAGAGUCCUUUUUGUUGGUUGUAUUAGCUUAGGCUAGUUAGUACAUGCACUCUUUUUUAUGCUUCUGUGGAAUGUACAGAUGUUGCAUGUAAACUAUUUAGCUUGAUUCUCUUCCUACCUCUUAUCCUUUUAAUGGUGUAAUUCUCAAGUAUGGACUCUGCCAUUUAUCACUAUUUAGGAUGGUUAUUCCUCUUUUCUCUAGUUGCUGAAAACUUGUAAUAGUGAAUGCUCUUGUAUCUAUGGCUAUGUUUGCAAGAUGAUCAACUAACUGGUUACCCUCUCUGUAAA